UUUAGAUUUUGACAAAGAAAUACAACCUUACGGUUUUGAACUGUAAUUUACAGAGAAGAAUUUCUGUAAAUGAAAUGCUUUUUUUAAUGAAUCCUCCUAUUGCUGCAGAAGAAGUUGGUGAGUAGUACAGGGUGUAGCAAGGGCAAAAAUGCAUCUGUUACCGGCGGUGACAAAACCUUCGUUUGUCAACCCUCACUACAUUUGCUGGGUGCCUGUCUGGUUUCGAGGAAGGUGUUUAACAAUCUUCUUUCACAUCCCUCGGGGACAUCACCCAGACAACUCCUCUGUGUUUCCUCAUGAUGGUCAGUGAUCUUUGGCCUGGUAUUGCAUGGGUUGUAUUCUAGGAUGUCUUGAAGAAACAAGUUACAAAGAAGGCAAUGGUAAGGAUGGUUGACUCAUUUUUCUGUUGAGGUCAGUUGGUCAAAGUUCAUCAUGUCGAGUUUGUGUUGCAUCCUACAACAAUUUCUGAUUUCUAUCAUUUUUCACUGAGAGGACCUCCGCCAGCUAGCAAGUACAUUUUCACAAAUUCUCAAAAAUUGAAUUAUUAUUAAAUUAUAUUUUAUUAACUUUUUUCCACUGGUGAAACAAAGAUACAUAUUUUGGUGGUCAGGCCAUCCCCGGCAUCAAAACAAUAACCGAUGAUCUCACUUUGCAAUUAUUUUGCUAACAAUUGAAGCCAACUUCUGUAACACGGACAGGAAGUGAAGUGACGCUCAGGGAUGGGUGUCGCCUCUUGAGAUAACGUGAAAGAGGAUGUAUGUUCUGAUGACUUUGCUUACAGUGAACCCACACACCCAUUGUGUAGUCCAUUGUAAGCAAUAGGUCUACAGUAGAUCUGUCUGCUGAGUUGGGCAUGUGGUUCUGGAUUGCUUCAGCGCUCAUGCAUAAGAACAGAUGUUUGUUUUCUUGAGUUCCUCCUUGCUGCCGAAGCUUCCUGUAGUAAGGACUUUGGUUGUGAAGCACCGGACAAGAACCAAAGGAAGUCUGACUUUAAUGCCCAGAAAUAACCUGAUAUGUAGUGCUGGGCUGCAUACUUGGCCCUGGGAUCAGCACCUCCUCUGGCCUCUAGCUGUUUUGACUCCAUCUGUUCCUCUAUAAAGCAUCUUUGUGACAGUUCUCUGUACAAAGCACUAUGGGCAAAUGUAUCAAAAGGUGGACAUGGACCAAAAACAUUAUUAUUAUUGUAGAAAAUAUUUGACUGGUGUACUAGCAUCAUAUGACCUAAACGUUACUGGAAAUGAUAGAUUUGAUCCAAGAGGCCUCUCAUAUUUCUCAUGGCUCCCAAAAAUAAAUGCCACUUUAAUGUCUUCACAAACAAUGGAAUUGCCCAUAUAUUUGAAAGGUCCUUAACAACACUCAAACUACCCUUCAGUAUGAAAGUUUUCUUUGAGAUUAGAGUGAACGGAUUGCUUUACCAUAAUUACAUCUGUCAAGAGAACCUUUGAAUUAAUUUUUUCAGUACAUGGCCCCAAAUGUUAGUCUAGUCCACAUGUGAUGUCAGUCACAAAAAACAUCAAUUUAUUUUAUUUUAUAAUUUUAUAAUUCUCUUACUAGAGGUUAUGAGUUAUGAGUUAUGAGUCCAUAACAAACAAAACCCCAGGUCAACUAUUUGUGCUGGUGUUGAAAUAUGUAACGUCAGUCACACAAUCAAAUAGAAUUACUCAAAAUACUACUAAAACAAGGUUGCUCAAAAUUCUCACUCUAAAAACUGUUUUGUAUUUGAGUGGAUACAGAUACUCAUGGCUGUGUCUGGUGGGCUAAGAACCACAGCAAAAAUUCUGGACAAAUCUGAUGAAAAUGUUACCAGAAAUUAGCAUUCUGCAUUGCUUUUUCCAAGCUAUGUCUAGGCAGGUUUCCAAAAAGACUGAAUGAUUUCAUGGGUUGUGUAUGAGGUGUAAAAUACUAUAGAUUGCAUACUAAAUGAUAUACUCAAUUCUCAUGACAUUUGUUUUUCAAAAGCAGGCCUGGGCCUGAUUUAUAAGUCUUCGUAAUAAUAAUAAACCAUUUUGAGAAUGUAUUUAGAUGCUCACCGAUAUAAAAUGGGGUUACGUCCAGGCGUCAAAUGCGUUUUCACUGUCCUCCUCAGAACUAUUCACUGAGAUGAGCAAUUCUUUUGCAAGUCUCAGUGUGCGUAUUGAAAAUGAAAGGAAAAUGAUUGCGGCAGCAAAAAAAUCCACACUGUUUUAUUCAAGCAAACAACAGUUGGAAACAUAGUUUCAUUAGAUAAAAUGCUACCCCCGUUGUCAGUCUAAUACCAUACUCCUAACUGGCUGUACGAUGAGCAGAACUUAUACUUCAGGUGAUCGCUCAUGGAGAGGGACUUUGUCGAUACCAUGAAUGCAAAGAUCCCACUCUGGCUGGUGUGACUUAAGGAUUUAAAGGUCCCAUGAUACUCAUCGCAAAGAGUAGGGGGUUCCUUGGUGUUGUGGCUAACUCCCAUACCUGGCUUUUGCAACCUGAUUUAAUUACCUAAAUUAUUGUUCUCUCCCUCUCCAGCUGAUAUAUGGUAAUAUGUACUAAUAUGUACAAUGUACAACGCAUUGGUGGUGGUUGAGGUGAGUUUCCCCGUCAUUGCUGUAAAGUGCUUUGAGUAUGAGAAAAAUGCAAUAUAAAUGCAAGAAUGUAUUAUUAUUAUUAUUAUUAUUAUUAUUAUUAUUAUUAUUAUUGGUUCCCUUAAACCACUCCAGCUUUGACCCUCUCCUGGUUCAGCUCGUCAACGCGACUCCAAAUGCCACUUGGUGGAAUAAUCGAUGAUGGUGCUGCUUUUCUGGCAUUAUUUGUUUAGCAGGGGCUGAACAAUAAAAGCAACCUCUACCACUUCUCUUCCUAUUACACUGGGCACGGUGCCUUAGAUACCAGUGAACACCGUCUCAGCUUGACAUGGACUCACCCAACACUCUGUGUUUUACUCAGAGGUACAUUUAUUAGCUGUGUGAUUAUUAUUCCUUUGGUCAGCAAACAGACAUUUCUGAAAGGAUAAUGCUAAUUAAAUGCAAUCUCAACUCCUGUUUAACAAUACAGUACAGACAAUUCCUCAUUUUUACUAUCCUUGUAGUUUCCAGUGCAGAGUUAAUGUAAAUGAGAAGCUCCCUUGAUGUAAUGAAACAAGCAGUAUUCCAAGAGAAAAGGCAGGCAGAACUUUGAAUUCCUCUGGUCAGGUCCCGUUUAGGCCAUACCCAGCGGUUGACUUAAAAAAGAAAAGCCUUGUUAGUCAAUUUCUGGCAAAAACUGAAAAUGGCAGUUAUGAAUGGUGACUGAGCGGCCAAUCAGAGCCAUGCAGGAGGGCUGCACUUGUGCUUUACUUUCCAAUGAUAACGUUCUUGAAUCCCUUGAUGUUGCUCAGCUUGUUGCUGCUGAAAUCCACCACCAGCUUCCGCAGUCCCGCACAGGUGGGCGUGAAGCCAAUUUUAACCGUGGCUGUCUCCCUGGGUCCCACUGUUCCAAACCUGUGGACAGAAACAUGGAGCCUUCAGAUCUCUGCACCAUCAGUCCUUUAAAAAAAACAUUUUUAGGGGUGACAUUGUCUCAGGCAGUAAGAGCAGUUGUCUGGCAGACGGAGGGUCGGCGUUUCCAUCCCCCGCCUGGGCUGUGUCGAGGUGUCCCUGAGCCCUAAAUGCUCCUGACGAGCUGGUCGGGGCCUUGCAUGGCAGCCAUUGGUGUGUGAGUGUGUGUAUGAAUGGGUGAAUGAGAAGCAUCAAUUGUACAGUGCUUUGGAUAAAUGCACUAUAUAAAUGCCAGCCACUUACCUUUUAUAUACAGUACCAUUUAUAUACAGUUUGGAUCCAUUUUUUUCUGAGAGUUUACUUUGGAUGCCCCUUGAUUGAUCUUGAUGUCAUGCUUAGUAGGCAAAUUGCGCCAAACACAAGUCACACCCAACGGUUGAGUGAGUACAAUACACAAUGCUGUUUACUGGAAGUUACUAUAAAUAAUACUACUUGAAGCUGCCUGUAAUCAUGCAUUUGCCAAUUCUAAGUAAUUCACAUUUACAUUUCCCCAUGUUUAGUCAGAAGCCAAGCUCCAAGUGACAAAGGAAUGAAAGACGUUUGUGAAAGAGCCACAAAUAUCAUUGACAUUCCCUUUUCAUGAUUCAUUUCUUGCCACAUCUCAUACAAAAAAAGCUGAAGUUAUUUUAUUUUUUUCUCAGGCAUUACAUUCAGGACUUAAAACUGUUCUGGAUUUGAAUAACUCACGUGUUAGCCUCAGCAACCAGUUGGAUAAUGGCUUGUUUUCAGAUUGGAACUGCUGUACUCUUGCUGUUGAUCCAGGUGUCAAAUUUCCAACAAGUGGCAUCUUAAAUGCCAUUAAUAGACACUGAUGCCCUUAACCAAAUGGCAGAUGUAGUGUGUUUGUAGCAACAUCAAGUGAAUUUGUUCUUUAAUCCAAUUAUUUGUAUAUUUUCCCUUAUAUUGAAGUAUUGCAAUAUCUUGAUUAUACAUUCAGUGACCACUUUAUUAGGUAUUUAUUAGACUUCUUUUUUAUCUUUGGCUGCUGUUGCCCAUCCACUGCAAGGUUUGAUGCGUUGUGUGUUCAGAGAUGCUCUUCUGCAUACCACUGAUGUAACAGGACGCCGUCCUGUCAGCUUGAACCAGUCUGACCACCAACUGGCAGCAACAAUCAUUCCACGGUCAAAGUCACUUGGAUCACAUCCCCCUCCCCCAUCCCCAUUCCCCAUUUCCUCAACAAAAACUGAACCCCUUGACCAUGUCAGCAUGCUUUUAUACAUUGAGCUGCUGCUACGUGCUUGGCUGAUUAAAUAUUUGCAUUAACGAGCCGGUGUACAGGCCUACAUAACAUAGUGUUCUCUGAGUGUAUUUUGUUUGCUGUGUUACACUGGGCCUGUUUUAGGCACAGCGUUCCUUGGAGGCGUACGUCUCAGUGAUGGCCUUGCCGUCGGUCAGGUUGGCUCCAUCCAGCGAGAAGGUGCAGUCCUCCAGGGGUUCUGGGAGAGGGUUCUGCAGUGAGAUCUCCGCCGUCAGCUUCCGCUUCACUUUCGGUUCCCCCAGGAUCUAAAACAGAACCACCGGAACGUUUCAUCAACAGCUGAACGCACCAGGUAAAACACACCUCCAUUUCCAAAUGAAUGCAUCCGUUCUGAGCCUUCUCUUUUAUAUCGUGACCUAAAGGCGGGAGUGUGUGUGCAUACAACACCCAUCCAGCCUGUGUGCAUAAAACACCUGUCAACAGAAUACAUAAAGAAUUAGGUAGAAAGAGCUGAUUCAACACGCACAUGCACACACGCACGCACGCACGCACGCGCACGCACACACGCACAAUAGAUUCCACACAGUAGGAGCUCGAAUCGGCGAUGACAUUUCUUGCAGAAGGUUCGUCUGUACAACUCAGUAUGAACUGAGCUCAAGGUAGCUCUACCCUCAGACUUAGUCUGGUUCCCUAACUGUCAGUUUGUCAGUAACACGCUUUUGCAUUGGCCCCAGGUCGUACCCUGAUGGCGAUUUCUGGGUCCUCCAGGACGAUGGUCCGGGUUUUGUUGUACAGCUCCUUGGUGUCAGAGUCGAUGAGAAUGGCCAUCAGGCGGAUCAGGGCAUCUUGGGUAAUCACAGAGCUGUAGUUGCAGUAGCAUAUUUUCAGUGGAAAGCUCUUCUCUGGAAAAAGAUUUUAAAAGUCACACACCUAAAAGGCUAUUCACUGGUGUGUGCAGAAUAUUGAGUCAUGUAUGCGAGCACUGGAGAGUUUAUCUGAUCCCACUAUGGAGAAUGAAACUUUUUUGUGUCAAUGCACCUUUAUGAAUAACAAGAUUCCCAAAAUAAUUUCAUUCUCCAUCGUGGGAUCAGAUAAACUCUCCAGUGCUCUCAUACAUGACUCAAUAUUCUGCACACACAAAUUGAUACUUUCAGACAAUUUUCUAAUAAACUCGUGGGAUUUUUCCCGGGCCUCCAAAAGAUUGCUUCUGUGGCUCUGUUAUUCUCAUAUGCACAACAUAGUCACAUACAGCUAUGGUGUUAUGUCCUGUAUGGACUAGUGUCAAAAUAUGUUGUGCAUAAUCUAGAACUUUCAUGCUUUGAUUUCCAUUUGUUUAAUUACUUGAGCAACAUAUUGUGGUGUACUGUAGGGGUUGGGUGCAAAUUCAAAUAUUUUUUUGCGAACUGAAAAUGAAUCAAAACAAUGUCAUCUCAUAUGUAACUGGGAAGUGAAACAGGGUAUGAAAAUGCAGGAAGCAGCAGUAGAGUGGCAAAUGCCUGCCAAAUGCCAUUAAUUCAGGAAGCUGCAGUAGAGUAACAGGGUGUGAAAAUGCAGGAUCAGCAGUAGAGUAACAGGGUGUGAAAAUGCAGGAAGCAGCAGUAGAGCAGCUCAGAUAAUUCCCACCCACCUUCCCCAGUUGAGACCUGCAGGUCAGGAAUUUCGGUCUGCCCACAGCUGCCCUUGAGUUUCCCGUUGUAGGACACUCCGUGGCCGUUGUACAGGAGGCGGCAUGUCUUUUUGUCGGGAGUGUUGUUGGUGAUGACCGCGAACACGUCAAAAUCGUAGCCUCUCUUCAUGUCCGCGCUCACCUUGAUCUUCAGCUUCAGGCUCGGCUCCAGACCCUUCUCCCGCAGGGCGUUGUGGUGGCCAGCCUUCUCAAACACCUGCCUCUCCUGCUGAGAACCUGAAAAGGGCCGCCGUGGCAUCAGGGACCACUCACACGCUGGGUCAUCUGUCUUCACCACUCACACGCUGGGGCAUCUGUCUUCACCACUCACACGCUGGGGCAUCUGUCUUCACCACUCACACGCUGGGGCAUCUGUCUUCACCACUCACACGCUGGGGCAUCUGUCUUCACCACUCACACGCUGGGGCAUCUGUCUCCACCACUCACACGCUGGGGCAUCUGUCUUCACCACUCACACACUGGGUCAUCUGUCUCCACCACUCAUACGCUGGGGCAUCUGUCUCCACCACUCACACGCUGGGGCAUCUGCCUUUACCACUCACACGCUGGGGCAUCUGCCUUUACCACUCACACGCUGGGUCAUCUGUCUCCACCACUCACACGGUGGGUCAUCUGCCUCAAAAAGCACUGGCUAGAGGCAGCGAGGGUGUUCCUAAGUGGCCUAAUGGCCGAUAUUAUUAUUGUAUAUUGUCACUGAUUAGACAAGCAUUAAGCUAACCCCAAUAGUUCAGGUUUGACCAGGAUAUAGUCCUUGACCUUUGUUUCCAAGAAACCUGGCUAUUCUCACAUUUGUACGUAUAUGCUUUGUGUGCUCAUUAGCAGUUCGACCCUAAUUUUGUUAUUUGAUUUUUAUUCAUGUAGCCACCUGCAGACACCUUUUUGCACCUGCAGACGGAAUGCCUUGGUAUUUAGUUUCGGGAUCCAUGUUAAUACUCCUUUGCAAUGUUUUUGCAUUGUUGGUAAUGGUGUGGUGGCCCGAUCGAGGAUCCGUACACCACUGAAGGAGAGCGGGCUGUGCGACGGCGCCAGGAGCUGGGGAAAGUAAUUCACGGUGAAUAUUUCCCGCGUACGUAUUUAAGGGACCGGCACCUUGGAGAGAGCCGCGCAGGAAAGAAUCAGCACCAAGACGCCUAGGCGGGGGAAGAGGACUUCCGAGGCCGGGACACCACGGAGAGUUAACGGCCCCACAGCGGACACAGAUGGGCGAACCCCGCCGCAUGAAGUCCGCCUUAGUUUGCCGUUUACCUUUUUUUUUGAAAUCCCUAAUUUUGAGCACGGACUAAUUUUCUAGUUUGCCUUUUUUUUCCUUUUUGUGACCAUAUUCCCGUGUUUGAGAAGGGAAUUUUUUUUGUUUGUUCUGGACACUGAAGAAGUGCCCUGAAGGCACGAGCACAGAAAAAAAUAAAAUAAAUAAAUGAUUUUUUUUUCACCAA